rnacentral:rRNA from 1 species
AUUGAACGCUGGCGGGAGGCCUUACACAUGCAAGUCGAACGAGUGGCGGACGGGUGAGUAAUAUAUGGGAAACUGCCCGAUGGCGGGGGAUAACUACUCGAAAGAGUGGCUAAUACCGCAUACCAUCGAAGGGGCCCAUAUGGGAUUAGCUAGUAGGUGGGGUAACGGCUCACCAAGGCAACGAUCCGUAGCUGGUCUGAGAGGAUGACCAGCCACACUGGAACUGAGACACGGUCCAGACUCCUACGGGAGGCAGCAGUGGGGAAUAUUGGACAAUGGGCGAAAGCCUGAUGCAGCCAUCCCGCGUGUAUGAAGAAGGCCUUCGGGUUGUAAAGUACUUUCAGCGGGGAGGCGUUACUCGCAGAAGAAGCACCGGCUAACUCCGUGCCAGCAGCCGCGGUAAUUC